GGGAGCUAUUAGCUUUUGUCAAUUAAUGAAAUUUUCUGGUGCACAAAAGCUUAGCUGGCUGAGUUUAGCAGUCGGCGCAGCAAGCGGCCGGCCGCGGGCCACCGGCGGCGUCAAGAAGCCGCACCGCUACCGGCCCGGCACGGUGGCCCUGCGCGAGAUCCGGCGCUACCAGAAGUCCACCGAGCUGCUGAUCCGCAAGCUGCCGUUCCAGCGGCUGGUGCGCGAGAUCGCGCAGGACUUCAAGACCGACCUGCGCUUCCAGAGCUCGGCCGUCAUGGCCCUGCAGGAGGCGUGCGAGGCCUACCUGGUGGGGCUCUUCGAGGACACCAACCUGUGCGCCAUCCACGCCAAGCGCGUCACCAUCAUGCCCAAGGACAUCCGGUCCCCUACCGGCCCAUGGAGAGCUUCACUGCAGGAUAGUCUUCCCCCAUCCAAAGGCUGCCAAGAGUCGCAUCCAGUUUCCUAACAAUACAUAGGCUUUGAGGCACUGCCCUCCUCCACCCUCGAUGUUGCCAAAUGGAUAAACUACUGGGAUUACAUGGGUAGCUAUGACACCAUUCUGGAGCCCGAGAAAAGUUUCUCACAUUUGGGAUGAGCCUGAAGUCAAGGCUGUUGCCUCAGCGUAAUUUGUCACACCUUUACAUAUAAGGAAUGUUUCCCAUAACUAGUGCUAUUGAAGUGUGAAGUGUUGCUAAUCCCAAAGGCUGUUCUGCGUUACAGACUUAAAGGUGCAAGUGGAGUGAGGAAAACACUGGAAAUAGGAGGCCUGGAUUUCUCUCAUGUGGAAUAACAUCUGAAAGCAGACGGAAUACACACUGAAAACCUCUAUCGUUGGAACGCAACUCAUGCGUGAGUUCACUUCUCGGGGAGUCACAGACGGCAAGGGCUCCAGGGGGCUCCGUCGGUUAAGCGCCUGGCUCUGGAUUUCGGCUCAGGUCAUCAUCUCCUGUCGUGGGAUCGUGGGAUCGAGCCCCGCCCUGGGCUGGGCGCUCAGCACGGAGUCGCUUGUCCCUCUUCUCUCCCAAAUAAGAAAGAACUGCACCAGGUGAGUUGUCGCACAAAGGAAAGUUUAUCUGCCGCAAAUAAGGAGGUCAGGCGGAUAACUUCCAAAGCCAUGACUCCCCAGGCAAGGGGGGAUGGGUUGCUUUUAUUUAGGCUUAGGGUGAAUAUUGGGGAAGAUGGGCCUCCUCAUUGAAUGUAGAGGUGGCGUGAGAUUGAACAUGUGCCGGAAACAAGCCUAGACGCACACUGCGCGUUACGAAACGAGCCCUGUACCCCUCCGUGGGCAGAUUUCAGGAUGAUAAGGAUGUACAAGUGACUGUCAGUCACUGCGUGGGUCACUCCGUGGCCCACCUGCGGAGUCGGGGUAAGUUCAGAGGGUCUGGGCGGUCGUUAAUGCUUGAGGGUGGUUCCACUUCCCAUCACGGGAUACUCCGCCCCUCCGCUCUGUUGCCCGAGCUAAGAGGUCAGCUGGUCUCCCGCUGUCAAAUAAAUAAAAUCUUUAAAAAAAAUUUUUUUUUGGUUAAGAUGAACCUCUCCGGGUUUCCGAAGGGCUAUUUGAUCAAAUGGCACGAAGACAUAUGUUCACGGUGACUGCAGCAUUUAGUACCAAAUUUCAUCAAAUCUAAAACACCCAAGUAGGCAAGCAAAAUAGACCAUAUGAGCCAACAAUCUGUUAAAAAACAAAA